GCCCAGGUAGCUCAGUCAGUAGAGCAUGAGACUUUUAAUCUCAGGGUUGUGGGUUCAUGUCCCAUGUUGGGCU